AAAUAGUAUUUAUUGAGUUGCUUAAAAAAUUUCAUUGUACAUUUGUUUUAUUAUUUCAAGUAAUAUUAUUCUGAUAGAAAUCCAACAAUAAAUGGAAAUAAAUUAUUUUUUAAAUAGUUUGGGAAUAAAUAUUAUUUUAUGUAAUGCUAUUAAAUAUUACUAAUGUCUGAAAUUUUCACCUACUUUCAAAAUAAUUCAUUGUGUUAAUUAUUAACAUGAUAUUAUAUUAUAAUAUCGUUUGAAAAGUUGACAAGUUAAUAUUUGUUGGCAAUCGGUUAUUGCAGUAUCAGUGUACUUAUUCACAAUAGUACCUAGUUUAACAUUUAAAACCUGGUUCGUUGACGCAAUUUUAAUUACGCCACGUGUGAUAAAGAUAAACCUUAUUAUGACUCUCUUAAUUAAAUUGUAAUUAAUGUUAUUGAUGUAAUAUAUAGUUUCAUAUAUAUAUAUACAUAUACAUUAAAAAAAAAUGUGUUUAUUAUUCAUUGACUUAUUUUUCAUUUAAAUAAAAAUUAAUAUCAUGUAGACUCAAAACAAAUAAAAUUCAAUUUGUUUGUAUUAAGCCUAAUCAUUUAAAAUGGUGCAUAUUUUAAGACAACAGCAAUCUACACAUUUUAUUAUAAAAAAAAGAUACUGAAAUUUUUAUAGUUAUUUAAUGAUGGUUAUAAACCGUCGCCAGUGCGACGAACAACCACCCGCCCUGGAUUAUCAAAGAUUAAGAAACCUCCUCCUUUGGGGUAGAUAUCUAUGGCUCUUAAUGGGCUUAUAUAGCAUUAAAAAAAAAUCGAAUGAUGAAAAACAUGAAAUGAUGUAUCUACUUUUUUUUUAUGAGAAAUUGUACUAGUUCUAUUUGAUAAACAAAUGUAUAUUUUCAAAAAAAUUACGACGCAUCAUUAAAUAUAUAUUUUUUGUCGAAGAGAGAUUGUGGGGGCUCUAUGUAUGAACAUUUUUGCGGGGUCUUAUAAUUUUCUUUAAAUAAAAUGAUCUUUUUUUAACUUCUAGUUUGCUACAGUUAUAGUUAAACUAAUUCUUUAAGAUUCAUUUAAUUUUUAUUAGAUAUAUUUUCAUUGUUUACUUUUAUAUAAAUUAAUCUUCUUGAGUUUCUAAAAGCUUUUAUUUAUAUUUUCUGAAAUUAAACUUAAAUUUGACUUAAGAGGUUUCAAUAGACUGCGAUAGCUUCAACGAAGUUUUUUACUAAUUCAUUAAGUAUUUUCAAAAACCAUUGGAUUUUGCUUGGAUCACGUUGUGUAUUAGUAUUUCUUACAUUUAUUGACGCAGUAAAUUUAUUGAACAGCGUAAACUAAAAAAAAUAUUUUUUAAACUGUAGUUUUUAGCUUAUACAAGUGCAGUAUUACGUGUAUAAAUAUAGUUUGCGUUAUCGAACCAUUCCGGAAUUGCUUACUAGUGACGAGUCAAGGCAAACCAAACGCAAUAGAUAAUUUUAAGUUCAAUGCUCUUUUCAUGUUACGGAAAUUACUGAAUUUACUCCUUGGACAAUAAUAAUAUUUUAAUUGCUCGCACGGAAUCCUGAAUUUUGGAAUUUAUGGAUGAUCUUUUUUUGUAAAGUUUUUAUGAGAAAAUUAUUUGUUCAGUUAAUUAUAUGAAAAUGCGUGUGUAUAUAUAGCAAUAAAAAUACAUUAUAAUGCAAAUUGUUUGGCAAAGCUUCACCAAGGCCGACAUGCAUACCAUUUCAGCAAUAAUAAUUAUUAUUGUUUAACGAAAAUAUAGUAAUAUAUUUCAUUGUU